UCCCGGGUGGCUCAGUGGUAAAGAAUCUGCCUGCCAGUGUAGGAGACUCAGGUUCAAUCCCUGGAUCGGGAA
rnacentral:tRNA from 1 species